GUUUACAGCCAUACCACCAUGAACAUGCCCAAUCUUGUCUGAUCUUGGAAGCUAAGUGGGGUCGGGCCUGAUCAGUACUUGGAUGGGAGAAAACUGCCAGGGUAGCCC
ensembl:rRNA 5S_rRNA 5S ribosomal RNA